rnacentral:rRNA from 1 species
UACGUAGGGAGCAAGCGUUGUCCGGAAUCAUUGGGCGUAAAGCGCGCGUAGGUGGCUUCGUAAGUCCGCUGUGAAAGUCAAAGGCUCAACCUUUGAAAGCCGGUGGAUACUGUGAAGCUAGAGUCCGGAAGAGGCGAGUGGAAUUCCUGGUGUAGCGGUGGAAUGCGCAGAUAUCAGGAGGAACACCAAUAGCGAAGGCAGCUCGCUGGGACGUGUGACACUGAGGCGCGAAAGCGUGGGGAGCGAACAGGG